rnacentral:rRNA from 1 species
ACGAACGCUUGCGACGUGCCUAAGAAAUGCAAGUCGAACGGGGGGAGCAAUCCCCUAGUGGCGAACGGUCGCGUAACACGUGGGCAACCUGCCCCAGAGUGUGGGACAACAGCUCGAAAGGGCUGCUAAUACCGCAUGUGGAGGGAGAGGGCAUCCUCUCUUGUCCAAAGGAUUUAUUCGCUCUGGGAUGGGCCCGCGGCCUAUUAGCUAGUUGGUGGGGUAACGGCCUACCAAGGCAACGAUCGGUAGCUGGUCUGAGAGGACGGUCAGCCACACGGGGACUGAGAUACGGCCCCGACUCCUACGGGAGGCAGCAGCUAGGAAUCUUGGGAAUGCGCGAAAGCGUGACCCAGCAACGCCGCGUGGGCGAUGAAGGCCUUCGGGUCGUAAAGCCCUUUUGCAGGGGAAGAUUGUGACGGUACCUUGCGAAUAAGCCACGGCUAACUACGUGCCAGCAGCCGCGGUAAUACGUAGGUGGCAAGCGUUGUCCGGAUUUACUGGGCGUAAAGGGCGUGCAGGCGGUCUGUUAAGUUCAGGGUGAAAGCUCCCGGCUCAACUGGGAGAGGUCCUUGGAUACUGGCAGACUUGAGGGAGGUAGAGGAGAGUGGAAUUCCCGGUGUAGUGGUGAUAUGCGUAGAUAUCGGGAGGAACACCAGUGGCGAAGGCGGCUCUCUGGGCCUUUCCUGACGCUGAGACGCGAAAGCGUGGGGAGCGAACCGGAUUAGAUACCCGGGUAGUCCACGCCGUAAACUAUGAACACUAGGUGUGGGGGGUAUCGACCCCCUCCGUGCCGAAGCUAACGCAAUAAGUGUUCCGCCUGGGGAGUACGGCCGCAAGGCUAAAACUCAAAGGAAUUGACGGGGGCCCGCACAAGCAGCGGAGCGUGCGGUUUAAUUCGUCGCAACGCGAAGAACCUUACCAGGGCUUGACAUGCUAGUGGUCCGACCCGAAAGGGAAGGGACCCCUCGGGGAGCUAGCACAGGUGCUGCAUGGCUGUCGUCAGCUCGUGCCGUGAGGUGUUGGGUUAAGUCCCGCAACGAGCGCAACCCCUGUUGCCAGUUGUAUUCUCUGGCGAGACUGCCCCGUAAAGCGGGGAGGAAGGCGGGGAUGACGUCAAGUCAGCACGGCCCUUACGUCCUGGGCCACUCGCACGCUACAAUGGCCGGUACAAUAGGUUGCCAAGGAGCGAUCCGGAGCUAAUCCCCAAAACCGGCCUCAGUUCAGAUUGCAGGCUGAAACCCGCCUGCAUGAAGGCGGAGUUGCUAGUAAACGCCGGUCAGCACACGGCGUUGAAUACGUUCCCGGGCCUUGUACACACCGCCCGUCACGCUAUGGAAGCCGGUAACACCUGAAGUCGCUGGGCUAACCCGCAAGGGAGGCAGGCGCCGAGGGUGGGACUGGUAACUGGAGCG